ACUUAAUCGUCUUUUUGGCAGACCAGAAUGCACCCUAUUUUAAACCCAAAGUAAAGGUAUCUUUCAGGAAUCACAGUGCAUUGAUAACAAGUGUAGUCCCUGGGGAUUAUGAUGGAGAUUCUCAAAUGGAUGUCCUUCUCACAUAUCUUCCCAAAAAUUAUGCCAAGAGUGAAUUAGGAGCUGUUAUCUUCUGGGGACAAAAUCAAACAUUAGAUCCUAACAAUAUGACCAUACUCAAUAGGACUUUUCAAGAUGAGCCACUAAUUAUGGAUUUCAAUGGUGAUCUAAUUCCUGAUAUUUUUGGUAUCACAAAUGAAUCCAACCAGCCACAGAUACUAUUAGGAGGGAAUUUAUCAUGGCAUCCAGCAUUGACCACUACAAGUAAAAUGCGAAUUCCACAUUCUCAUGCAUUUAUUGAUCUGACUGAAGAUUUUACAGCAGGAAAAAUCUAUCUUAAUGAAGUUUUAGAAAUGUACUUUUAGUUCAAUAGUAUGAGACUUCCUUAAACAAUACUGACUUUGCAUUUAAGUAAGCCGCCACCAGGGCUGCUGCUACCCAUCUGCACAAGCAAAGUGAAUGAAGAAGAAUAAGUCUUUCCUAGACAUGCAAAAGCUGAGGGAAUUCAUUACCACUGGAAUGGCCCUACAUGAAAUUCUUAAGUGAGUACCACAUUUGGAAGCAUAAAGACAGUAUCUACCAUCAUGAGAUCACACAAAGUAUAAAACUCACUGGUAGCUCAGACACACAAAUAAAAAAGAGAAAGGACUCAAAUGUUACCAGUAAAUGUUAGCAGUACAGAAAACCACCAUAUCUCAUUGAUAAACAGUAAGAGAUAAAGAAAGGACAAAGGAUGCGUAUGCAAAACAACCAGAAAACGAUUCAUAAAAUGAAAGGAAUAGGCCAGGUGCAGUGACUCACUCCUGUAAUCCCAUCAUUUUGAAAGACUGAGGCAAGCAGAUUACUUGAGCUUAGGAGUUUGAGACCAAUCUACACAACAUGGUGAAA
rnacentral:sRNA from 1 species